CCCUUAGAUGUCCUGGGCCGCACGCGCGCUACACUGAUGCAUGCAACGAGUUUAUAACCUUGGCCUGAAAGGUCUGGGUAAUCUUUUGAACGAGCAUCGUGAUAGGGAUAGAUUAUUGCAAUUGUUAAUCUUGAACGAGGAAUUCCUAGUAAACGCGAGUCAUCAGCUCGCAUUGAUUACGUCCCUGCCCUUGUACACACCGCCCGUCGCACCUACCGAUUGAAUGGUUCGGUGAAGAUCUCGGACUUCGAUAUUUAUUCUUUAUUGAGUUUAUAUUGUGGGAAGUUAUCUAAACCUCAUCAUUUAGAGGAAGGUGAAGUCGUAACA
rnacentral:rRNA from 1 species